CAGUCGCCGCGGUAAUACGAAGGGGGCUAGCGUUGUUCGGAAUUACUGGGCGUAAAGCGCACGUAGGCGGCGAUCAAAGUCAGGCGUGAAAUUCCUGGGCUCAACCUGGGGGCUGCGCUUGAUACUUGGUUGCUUGAGUGGGGAAGAGGGUCGUGGAAUUCCCAGUGUAGAGGUGAAAUUCGUAGAUAUUGGGAAGAACACCGGUGGCGAAGGCGGCGACCUGGUCCUUGACUGACGCUGAGGCGCGAAAGCGUGGGGAGCAAACAGGAUUAGAUACCCCCGUAGUCCCUGUCUCUUAUAC
rnacentral:rRNA from 1 species